rnacentral:rRNA from 1 species
UACGGAGGAUGCGAGCGUUAUCCGGAUUUAUUGGGUUUAAAGGGUGCGUAGGCGGCUUAGUAAGUCAGCGGUGAAAUUUUGCAGCUUAACUGUAACAGUGCCGUUGAUACUGCCAGGCUAGGAUUUGGUUGCUGUGGGUGGAAUGUGUGGUGUAGCGGUGAAAUGCUUAGAUAUCACACAGAAUAUCGAUUGCGAAGGCAGCUCACAAAGCCAAGAUUGACGCUGAGGCACGAAAGCGUGGGGAGCAAACA